rnacentral:rRNA from 1 species
UCGAGGAUCUUCGGCAAUGGGCGCAAGCCUGACCGAGCGACGCCGCGUGUGCGAUGAAGGCCUUCGGGUUGUAAAGCACUGUCGAGGGGGAGGAAAGCCGCAAGGCUUGACCUAUCCCUGGAGGAAGCACGGGCUAAGUUCGUGCCAGCAGCCGCGGUAAGACGAACCGUGCGAACGUUGUUCGGAAUCACUGGGCUUAAAGGGCGCGUAGGCGGGCACGUAAGUCAGGGGUGAAAUCCUCCAGCUCAACUGGAGAACAGCUUCUGAUACUGCGUGCCUCGAGGGGGGUAGGGGCGCGUGGAACUUCCGGUGGAGCGGUGAAAUGCGUAGAUAUCGGAAGGAACGCCGGUGGCGAAAGCGACGCGCUGGGCCCUUUCUGACGCUGAGGCGCGAAAGCCAGGGGAGCAAACGGGAUUAGAUACCCCCGUAGUCC